rnacentral:rRNA from 1 species
AUGAUUCGUCUCAGUGAAUGUCAUCAUAUCCAUGUCGAUUUUGCACAAUAUGAUGUGCUCCCUCUUUGUCGCCAAAUCAACUUGUGGCUCAUUGUAAUGGAGCCAGAUGAUGUGGCCGCUCUCCUUUGCCAAUGUGUGCCUGUGAGCUGUCUCCUCAAAGAUUUGACUGACGACAGUUGCUCAUUUCAUUCUCCUGUCCAAGAUCCGAUUCUCCUUCAAGAGCGGCACCCUAGCCGCGGUGAUGCGGAGCAUCCCAAGGUCAUCCCCAUGAUCCUACCUACGUCUCUUACGACACCACUUGGACCGAUGACAAGAGCCCGAGCAAAGGCUAUCGAAGAUAAGGUGAACUCGCUCCUCUUCGAACUACCACUUUCUAUACAUGAGACAUGGCUGCUACCUCAAGCGGAAACACUAUGUGUAGUCAGGUACUUGGAGGAAAUCCAAGGAGCAGCUACAUCCAACGGACAAGACGGCGAGGACACCAAGUGCCAAGAAGAAGAGCUGCCAUUGAAGCUAUAG